rnacentral:rRNA from 1 species
CGCGGUUAUACCAAGUGAUUAAGUUAUAUCUUUAGGUAAAAAGACAGUUAGGUUUAUAGAAACGACUUAGUUUAUUAAACAUCUAUAAAAAAGUAAAAUUUGUAUAUAGAUAGCUAAUCUAAUAAUAACUAUGUAUACUGAAGCUGUGAUAGUCUUGAGGGAAACUGGGAUUAGAUACCCCAUUAUUCUUGAUUGUAAAUAUAAUUAAAUUUACCAGAGUACUAUGAAUAGUUAAAAAUUUAAAACUCAAAGGGCUUGGCGGUGUUUUAGACCUAUCAGGGGAACCUGUCUCGUAAUCGACAAUCCGCGUAAUAUCUAACCCUAUUUUGUAAUCAGUUUGUAUACCGUCGUCGUCAGGUAACUUUUAAAAAUAUAGAAGUUAGCAAUUAAAACUUAUUAGUUAAAACGUCAGAUCAAGGUGCAGCCUACAAUAGGGAGAGGAUGGGUUACAAUUAUAAAAGUUAUAAUUACGGAAAUUUAAAUGGAACUUAUUUUGAAGGAGGACUUGAAAGUAAACUAAAAUACAUAAGUAGCUUGAAUGAGGCUCUG